rnacentral:rRNA from 2 species
AUUGCCCCAGUAACGGCGAGUGAAGCGGCAACAGCUCAAAUUUGAAAUCUGGUCCCCAGGGCCCGAGUUGUAAUUUGCAGAGGAUGCUUUUGGUGAGGUGCCUUCCGAGUUCCCUGGAACGGGACGCCAUAGAGGGUGAGAGCCCCGUCUGGUUGGAUACCGAGCCUCUGUAAAGCUCCUUCGACGAGUCGAGUAGUUUGGGAAUGCUGCUCUAAAUGGGAGGUAUAUGUCUUCUAAAGCUAAAUAUUGGCCAGAGACCGAUAGCGCACAAGUAGAGUGAUCGAAAGAUGAAAAGCACUUUGAAAAGAGGGUUAAAUAGUACGUGAAAUUGUUGAAAGGGAAGCACUUAUGACCAGACUUGGCCCCGGUGAAUCAUCCAGCGGUUCCCGCUGGUGCACUUUGCCGGGGUUCAGGCCAGCAUCAGUUCGCUCCGGGGGAUAAAGGCUUUGGGAAUGUGGCUCCCUCGGGAGUGUUAUAGCCCAUUGCGUAAUACCUUGUGGCGGGCUGAGGUUCGCGCUUUAUGCAAGGAUGCUGGCAUAAUGGUCAUCAGUGACCCGUCUUGAAACACGGACCAAGGAGUCGUCUUCGUAUGCGAGUGUUCGGGUGUUAAACCCCUACGCGUAAUGAAAGUGAACGCAGGUGAGAGCCCUCCAGGGCGCAUCAUCGACCGAUCCUGAUGUUCUCGGAUGGAUUUGAGUAAGAGCAUACGGGGCCGGACCCGAAAGAAGGUGAACUAUGCCUGUAUAGGGUGAAGCCAGAGGAAACUCUGGUGGAGGCUCGCAGCGGUUCUGACGUGCAAAUCGAUCGUCAAAUAUGGGCAUGGGGGCGAAAGACUAAUCGA